AUUGAACGCUGGCGGCAGGCCUAACACAUGCAAGUCGAGCGAGCGGCGGACGGGUGAGUAAUGUCUGGGAAACUGCCUGAUGGAGGGGGAUAACUACUGGAAACGGUAGCUAAUACCGCAUACCAUCAGAUGUGCCCAGAUGGGUUUAGCUCGUAGGUGGGGUAACGGCUCACCUAGGCGACGAUCACUAGCUGGUCUGAGAGGAUCACCAGCCACAAUGGAACUGGGACAGUGUGCAGACUCAUACGGGAGGCAGCAGUGGGGGAUAUUGCACAAUGGACGAAAGCCUGAUGUAGCGACGCCGCGUGGGGGAUGAAGGCUUUCGGGUUGUAAACCUCUUUCGCGAUCGAACGGGUAGGUGGAGAAGAAGCGCCGGCUAACUACGUGCCAGCAGCCGCGGUAAUAC
rnacentral:rRNA from 1 species